rnacentral:rRNA from 1 species
GACGAACGCUGGCGGCGUGCUUAACACAUGCAAGUCGAACGGAAAGGCCCUGCUUGCAGGGUACUCGAGUGGCGAACGGGUGAGUAACACGUGGGUGAUCUGCCCUGCACUUCGGGAUAAGCCUGGGAAACUGGGUCUAAUACCGGAUAGGAGCCAUUUUUAGUGUGAUGGUUGGAAAGUUUUUUCGGUGUAGGAUGAGCUCGCGGCCUAUCAGCUUGUUGGCGGGGUAAUGGCCUACCAAGGCGGCGACGGGUAGCCGGCCUGAGAGGGUGGACGGCCACAUUGGGACUGAGAGACGGCCCAGACUCCUACGGGAGGCAGCAGUGGGGAAUAUUGCACAAUGGGCGCAAGCCUGAUGCAGCGACGCCGCGUGGGGGAUGACGGCCUUCGGGUUGUAAACUCCUUUCGCUAGGGACGAAGCUUUUUGUGACGGUACCUAGAGAAGAAGCACCGGCUAACUACGUG